GACGAACGCUGGCGGCGUGCUUAACACAUGCAAGUCGAACGGAAAGGCCCUGCUUUUGUGGGGUGCUCGAGUGGCGAACGGGUGAGUAACACGUGAGUAACCUGCCCUUGACUUUGGGAUAACUUCAGGAAACUGGGGCUAAUACCGGAUAGGAGCUCCUGCUGCAUGGUGGGGGUUGGAAAGUUUCGGCGGUUGGGGAUGGACUCGCGGCUUAUCAGCUUGUUGGUGGGGUAGUGGCUUACCAAGGCUUUGACGGGUAGCCGGCCUGAGAGGGUGACCGGCCACAGUGGGACUGAGAUACGGCCCAGACUCCUACGGGAGGCAGCAGUGGGGAAUAUUGCACAAUGGGCGGAAGCCUGAUGCAGCAACGCCGCGUGCGGGAUGACGGCCUUCGGGUUGGAAACCGCUUUCGCCUGUGACGAAGCGUGAGUGACGGUAAUGGGUAAAGAAGCACCGGCUAACUACGUGC
rnacentral:rRNA from 1 species